rnacentral:rRNA from 1 species
CAGCCGCCGCGGUAAUACCGGCGGCCCGAGUGGCGGUCACUAUUAUUGGGCUUAAAGCGUCCGUAGCCGGGUUGGGAAGUCCUCCGGGAAAUCUGGCCGCUUAACGGUCCGAAUGCCGGAGGAUACUCCCAGCCUAGGGAGCGGGAGAGGCCGAGGGUAUUCCCGGAGUAGGGGGGAAAUCCUAUAAUCCCGGGAGGACCACCUGUGGCGAAGGCGCUCGGCUGGAACGCGUCCGACGGUGAGGGACGAAGGCCAGGGGAGCAAACCGGAUUAGAUACCCGGGUAGUCCUGGCUGUAAACGAUGCGGACUUUGUGUCGGACAAGCUAUGAGCUUGUCCGGUGCCGGAGGGAAACCGUUAAGUCCGCCGCCUGGGGAGUACGGCCGCAAGGCUGAAACUUAAAGGAAUUGGCGGG